rnacentral:lncRNA from 1 species
AAUUCAUCUUGCGUGUGUAGUGCAUACACAUGAGGUGUGCACACACCCAUGUACACAUAUGCCAUCAUCUGUGUGCAUAAGCAUACUCAGGGGUUAACACCAAAGAUCAUCUUUCCGGAGGGCCAUUUUACUGGAAAGCUUGAAGACAGCUGUGGUGGGAUUUGCUUCACAUUAAACCCAGUUUAGAGGAGAAUGCAAAGUCGCCAGGUAUGCUGUUAAAGCAGGGCAUGUCAAAGUAAUAUCUUGCUUGGUUGCCACUUUGAACUGCUUUCUCUUUAUAUUGUUGAAGCAGAUUUUUUCCCUCCGCCGUUAAAGGUAUUGAUUGUAAGUGCUUGAGAAGCACUUGUCACAAAGUACCUCUGCUCCUACUCCCAUUUAUUUAGUUGUAGCUUUCAAAACACAGAGAAAUAACUGUUGUUUUAUUUUUAUAUAACAGCACUUUAAAAUAUUUCUUUUAUGCUGUUCCUAAACAAUGUCAUAAAGUCAUCUCCAUUAGACAUUUUUCUGCUUAUUUCAAACAUCAAAAAUUA